rnacentral:rRNA from 1 species
UACGGGGGGGGCAAGCGUUGUUCGGAAUUACUGGGCGUAAAGCGAACGUAGGCGGCUAUGUAAGUCGGGUGUGAAAGCCCUCGGCUCAACCGAGGAAGUGCAUUCGAAACUGCAUGGCUUGAGUAUCGGAGAGGAUAGCGGAAUUCCCGGUGUAGAGGUGAAAUGCGUAGAUAUCGGGAGGAACACCAGUGGCGAAGGCGACUACCUGGCCUGUUUCUUGACGCUGAGGCGCGAAAGCUAGGGGAGCAAACGGG